rnacentral:ribozyme from 14 species
AAUGAGUGAAUAGACGUUUCAAAUACGAACGAACAAAAAGAAAACAAGCAACUCCGAAUUUUUCAGUCGUCUCCUUGGUGUCCUUUUUAAAUUCAGUGUUUUUGUUUUUUAUCUUCUUCUCCCUCUUGUUUGCGCGCACUCUUUUUUUUUUA